AGGUCAGACACACCCGUGUAAGGCUCUUUAGUUAUGUAGGGCAGCCUGCAGGAGACCAGCAUUCAUCCUUAGAGCAUUUCUGAAGUUCAUUUGAGGAGUUGGCCAGCUGGGGUGGUGUGGUAGAGGGAAAAAAUUCCUAAGGCUUGGUGUCAAGCCAUGGAGUGCCCAUCAGAUCUUGGGCACAUCAUUUCAUUUGUGUGGUCCCAGAGAGAGGUCCUCAUCUUUUGAGAUGAAUUGGUACUUGGAGGCAGGAUUUUGAGUGCUUUGUACCAGGCUCAGUGCUAAGCACCUUCCUUGAGCUAUUUCACACAUAAGGUGUAUAUGAUUAUCUAAUUCAGUGCUUUGAAUGAAGGAGGUAGCUCAGGGCAAAGUGUCCAGAUAAGGGCAAAGUAUCCAGCUUGUGGGUGGCAGAGUCAGGAUGCAAAGCUGUACCAUCUGGCUUCAAAGCUCAUCCUCAGGUGCUCUGUACCACUGUCUCCUUUGGCAGUUUCUGAAGAAAUGUAGAGAUGUAGAGAUGAGCCAAUUAGGAGCCCAAACCAGGAGGUGGCUGCAAGGGCAGCAUAUGGAGUGUUUGCAGAGGCAUGUACAUCUCUUCACUACUGACAUCUAGAAGGCAUCUCUGGCUCCCGACAUCUGCUUUCAGGGUCGCAAUCAGGAGACCUUGCCCUCUGGCUUCAGAGUACCUUGCAGCUCCCCUGGCAGAAGGUGUUUGAUGAGAUUGUGCUCUGCCAAGGAUUCCAAGGACAGGAGCUGGCUGGGGAGCAGAGUCUUCAGCAGCAGAAACUUCACAGGAGACACUUCCCAUCUCACUGGCAGCCAGCUUUCUAGACUUACCUUAGGGUGGCACAAGUGUACACCCCUCUAGAAACAUCUGGACCCAUCUGUCUGAUGUAAUACUGCCUGGUUGACACCUGGGCUACAGGGAUGGCUCGAGUCUGGUAUCCCUAGCAGGAUUUCUUGUUGGGGUUCUGCAGGCUAGCUGUGACAUUUCAACAUGAGAACAGGAGGUGAGAGAUGCCCACAGACAGAAGCUUGGAUGUGCAUGGCUGGGGGUGGUGUUCAUGCUGCCCGUGGAUUGCCUCCUCAGAGCUAACCCUAACUCUAACCCUCAACCCUCAACCCUAACCCUAACCCUCUAACCCUAA